rnacentral:tRNA from 1 species
GCCCGGGUGGCUCAGUCAGUUAAGCGUCUGACUUUAGCUCAGGUCAUGAUCUCGCGGUUCGCGGGUUCAGGCCCUGCGUCGGGCU